rnacentral:rRNA from 1 species
AUUGAACGCUGGCGGCAGGCUUAACACAUGCAAGUCGAGCGGGCAUCCUUGUGGUGUCAGCGGCAGACGGGUGAGUAACGCGUGGGAACGUGCCCUUCGGUUCGGAAUAACUCAGGGAAACUUGAGCUAAUACCGGAUACGCCCUUUUGGGGAGAGGCUUGACUGCCGAAGGAUCGGCCCGCGUCUGAUUAGCUGGUUGGUGAGGUUACGGCUCACCAAGGCGACGAUCAGUAGCUGGUCUGAGAGGAUGAUCAGCCACACUGGGACUGAGACACGGCCCAGACUCCUACGGGAGGCAGCAGUGGGGAAUAUUGGACAAUGGGGGCAACCCUGAUCCAGCCAUGCCGCGUGAGUGAUGACGGCCUUAGGGUUGUAAAGCUCUUUUCUCCGGGACGAUAAUGACGGUACCGGAGGAAUAAGCCCCGGCUAACUUCGUGCCAGCAGCCGCCGUAACAC